UACGGGGGGUGCAAGCGUUGUUCGGAAUUAUUGGGCGUAAAGAGCGUGUAGGCGGCGGGAUAAGUCAGAUGUGAAAGCCCUGGGCUCAACCCAGGAAGUGCAUUUGAUACUGUUUCGCUUGAGUACUGGAGAGGGAAGAGGAAUUCCUGGUGUAGAGGUGAAAUUCGUAGAUAUCAGGAGGAACACCGGUGGCGAAGGCGACUUCCUGGCCAGAUACUGACGCUGAGACGCGAGAGCGUGGGGAGCAAACAGG
rnacentral:rRNA from 1 species